UACAGAGGUGGCAAGCGUUGUUCGGAAUUACUGGGCGUAAAGGGCGCGUAGGCGGCCUUCUAAGUCAGACGUGAAAUCCCCCGGCUUAACCUGGGAACUGCGUCUGAUACUGGGAGGCUUGAGUAUGGGAGAGGGAUGUAGAAUUCCAGGUGUAGCGGUGAAAUGCGUAGAUAUCUGGAGGAAUACCGGUGGCGAAGGCGGCAUCCUGGACCAUAACUGACGCUGAGGCGCGAAAGCUAGGGGGGCAAACGGG
rnacentral:rRNA from 1 species